GGGGGAUUAGCUCAGUUGGCUAGAGCGUUUGCAUGGCAUGCAAAAGGUCAAGGGUUCGAUUCCCUUAUCCUCCACUA
rnacentral:tRNA from 1 species